rnacentral:tRNA from 3 species
GGAAAAGUUUCCAUUGGUAGGGUAAGACAUUUGCUAUAUGUUAUGUUUUUACAUAUGGGUGUUCGAAUCACCUCUUUUCCG